rnacentral:lncRNA from 1 species
UUAAGGUUGCUGUUAUGCAUUAUUGGAAAUGUAGUUCAUUGGAGUUUGACGUGCACUUCUCUUUGCCUUUCCCAAAGAUUUUUAAGGUUAAGAAGUAAAUAACACAAAAAUGACAUGUUGUAUAAUGAGAUUGAAGAUAUUAUUAAAACACACUUAAAGCAGGUAUAAUAUGACCUCAAGUUUACUUCCUUGAACUUUAACGACAUUCCCUAAUACCAGGUAAUAAGAGCACAAAUGAAGGAUAAGGCUGGGCGGACAAGUGCUGACAAACGCAGGAUAGGAGAGGAGUUCAACACUCAACAGGUUUGUUUCCCACAGUCCCUGCAGGCAGCGAGACAGUCUGGCAGACAGAGUCAGAGGUGAUGGGUGUGUUGGCUAUCCCUCUACCGUUUAGUCAGACACUUUCAGAAAGUAGGACUUGUAAACACAACAGGAGAAGGGAAAUUCAUGACAGAGGAGUAGUUAGCCGUCAGAUCCAGCCAAGAUAACACUUGUUUAGUCUCUUCUGUGAUGUUGCUGCUGCCAUUACAAGCGCAAAGUCAAUAAAGACUUGUAUCAACUUGGCAAAUAAAGAAUUGAGUUAAAAUGACCACUUAGACUGAAAUGCAGCAGGGGGCAGCAAAGACAACAACUUUGGUAUGAGUGGAGCGCUUCAGCGAGCGUUUGUGUUUCACCAAGUACCAGAAAAUAUGAAUCAUCCAGUGCAUCACAGCUAUUUUUAUUGUUCCAGCAGAUUAUAAAGUUAGUUGGAAUCAUGAUGAACAUAAAAAAAAUCAGCAGCUGUACACGUGAUUUCUUUGUGCUGGUAGACACCUGCAGAGACUGAUGCAAGAGGGAUGUCUUUAUUUAAGACUUUUCUUGCUCAAAGAUAUCGUGAAUGAUUUUUUAAAAAAUUUGCAUGUUUCAUCUUUCUUGUUUUGCAGACAUUAUCCUGAUUCUUGUUUUAAUAUUACAAGACGGCUACUAGAAGCUGAAAAACAAGGGUCUAUUUUUGACCCACUCAGAGCUAAAUCUGAACAUGUGUUUCGGAUAGAUUCCUCUAAAAGCAGAUAAAAGAACCAUUUGUACUGCUUUUUACACUAAGUAAACUAGAAGUGCCUGGAGGAAAAUAAAAGGUACAGGGGAGGCUGAUGCUUUCUGUGAGAUGUGUGUAGAAGAAGAGAAUCAGAUUCAGUGAAUCCACCGGAAGAUACUGCUUUUAUGCUACCACUCUCACCCUCGUCCAUAAAAAAAAGCAACCCUCUGCAAGUACAACCCCAUCCCCCCUCCCCCAAAUCUGUUAACCCAUUUUUUCCAGGGAAAGGAUAAAGCCUGUUGCUAGGCAGGCAGUGCGACAGUUGCCAUGGGAACGCUUGCAGACAUAGCUAGAAGGGGGGAAAAAUGUUGGGUGGGGUAGGGAUGAGGAAGGGGUACAAAAAAAGAGAGGGGAUGAUGCAGAGCGAGGGUAUGUGUGUCUGUGUGUGUGUUGUAUGGGGGGAGGGGGAUCCAAGUUCAUGGCCAAUGCCUCUGCUCCAUGAUGUUUGUCUCCUCCAGCUACAGGAGGAAACAAAGAGGUGCGAAGGAAUGGGGAUCCAUACUGAGUUCAAAUUGGAGGCACCGCAUGCAGGGUUGCCCUCUGAUGAUGUAAUGUCCAAGGACGUGAUGUGGGUGUGAGGCGGAUAACAAACGAGGGGUUUAAAACAUCCUUUAAAAAGAAAUGGCUGUAGCAGAAAUUACUAAACAAGAAAUUCAACGGCCGCCUAGCAACACUGAGACAAAUCAGAUCCAAAGAAGAAAGUCGUAUUAGAGUCUUCAGCAUAUCUUAAAAAAGAAGAGGAGAACACUUAAACAAAAAAAGUGCACCUUUGAACAUAACUGAGUGUUUCUGUUUUACGUCACACCUUGAAACAUCCUUCAUGAAAAGCGCACGAGUUUUCUGAUCACACAUUCAGGCUUACGCACACCCUUUUUUUUUUUAGCCCCAUACAAAAACAGAGCAGCCUUGAACAUUAAAAGGAGAUAAUGAACUCAUCCUCAGACGUCAGCCUUAGGGGCACUUUUUUUUUUU